rnacentral:rRNA from 1 species
AUACGGAGGAUCCGAGCGUUAUCCGGAUUUGUUGGGGUUAAAGGGUGCGCAGGCGGCCAUUUAAGUCAGCGGUUAAAUCGUGGGGCUCAACCCCAUUCUGCCGUUGAUACUGGGUGGCUUGAGUGCGGUCGAGGUUGGCGGAAUUCGUUGUGUAGCGGUGGAAUGCAUAGAUAUGACGAAGAACACCGGUUGCGUAGGCAGCUGACCAGACCGCAAAUGACGCUCAUGCACGAAAGUGCGGGGAUCGAACAGGAUUAGAUACCCUGGUAGUCCGCACAGUAAACGAUGAAUACUUGUUUUCGGCGAUAUAAUGUCGGAGGCAAAGCGAAAGCGAUAAGUAUUCCACCUGGGGAGUACGCCGGCAACGGUGAAACUCAAAGGAAUUGACGGGG